GUGUCAGCCGCCGCGGUAAUACGUAGGGGGCGAGCGUUGUCCGGAAUUACUGGGCGUAAAGGGUGCGUAGGCGGCCUGAUAAGUCAGAUGUGAAAUACCAGGGCUCAACCCUGGGGGUGCAUUUGAAACUGUCGGGCUUGAGUGCAGGAGAGGAAAGCGGAAUUCCUGGUGUAGCGGUGAAAUGCGUAGAUAUCAGGAGGUACACCAGUGGCGAAGGCGGCUUUCUGGACUGUAACUGACGCUGAGGCACGAAAGCGUGGGGAGCGAACAGGAUUAGAUACCCUGGUAGUCCACGCCGUAAACGACGGAUGCUAGGUGUAGGGAGGGUUAACCUUUCUGUGCCGUAGUUAACGCAAUAAGUAUCCCGCCUGGGGAGUACGUGCGCAAGCAUGAAACUCAAAUAAAUUGGCGG
rnacentral:rRNA from 1 species